UACGGAAGGCAGCAGUGGGGAAUAUUGCACAAUGGGCGCAAGCCUGAUGCAGCCAUGCCGCGUGUAUGAAGAAGGCCUUCGGGUUGUAAAGUACUUUCAGUCGUGAGGAAGGUGUUAAGGUUAAUAACCUUAGCAAUUGACGUUAGCGACAGAAGAAGCACCGGCUAACUCCGUGCCAGCAGCCGCGGUAAUACGGAGGGUGCGAGCGUUAAUCGGAAUUACUGGGCGUAAAGGGCACGCAGGCGGUUAAUUAAGUUGGUUGUGAAAUCCCCGGGCUUAACCUGGGAAUGGCAUUCAAGACUGGUUAGCUAGAGUCUUGUAGAGGGGGUAGAAUUCCAUGUGUAGCGGUGAAAUGCGUAGAGAUGUGGAGGAAUACCGGUGGCGAAGGCGGCCCCUGGACAAAGACUGACGCUCAUGUGCGAAAGCGUGGGGAGCAAACAGGGAUUAGAUACC
rnacentral:rRNA from 1 species